rnacentral:rRNA from 1 species
UAGGGAAUCUUCCACAAUGGGCGAAAGCCUGAUGGAGCAACGCCGCGUGUGUGAUGAAGGGUUUCGGCUCGUAAAACGCUGUUGUAAGAGAAGAAUGACAUUGAGAGUAACUGUUCAAUGUGUGACGGUAUCUUACCAGAAAGGAACGGCUAAAUACGUGCUAG